rnacentral:tRNA from 1 species
GCCCUGGUAGCUCAGUGGAUAGAGCAACCGCCUCCUAAGCGGUAGGUCGCAGGUUCGACUCCUGCUCAGGGCGCCA